rnacentral:tRNA from 1 species
GGGCCUAUAGCUCAGCUGGGAGAGCGCCUGCAUGGCAUGCAGGAGGUCAUCGGUUCGAUCCCGAUUAGGUCCA